CAAGAUAUAGCUUAAACAAAGCACCUAGUUUACACCUAGAAGAUUUCACACACCAUGAAUGUCUUGA
rnacentral:tRNA from 1 species